rnacentral:lncRNA from 1 species
GCAUGGAGGGAAAUAGCGCUGACUGUUUCCUCAGGCCGGUGCACAUCAAGGGCAGUGUCUGGCCCCCAGUUCUCUACCCCUCUACCUGGUCAGAGUGGGCAUGACUAUCCUGCCUGGGUGCUGGCUCCACCCUGCCAGCUGGGGCACCUGUGGGAGAAGCUGGGGUGCUGUCUCCUGCUCUGGAUGGGUCCACCUACACAGCCGCGGGUUUAUCAAGGUAACAGUUGUAUCUUCAACUUGGGGAAAUGACUCUCACAACUUCAAACAGUGCAGAGGAGCAGAGCAUGGACCAGCAGCUGGGGCCCGUGUCCCCUCUUCCAGCCUCAGGCUUUGUGCCCCGGGGGCCCCACUGUAGCCCUGACAGGCCCUUGGUCACGUGUGAAUGGACAGUGCAGGCGUGGGCCGAUUCUAUCGCUAUGGACAGCUCCGUGGGCAGCGCUGACCACAGCACCCGCCUCGGCUGCCCAGAACGCUCCCUCGAGGCUUGAGCCACACCAGCCCUCCCUGUGCCAGAGAUCCGGACCCAUCCUCACCCAGCUUCUUGCAGCAGAAGAGAGGAGAAUGACACCAUGCAGGAGAUGACCACAGGGACACAGGGUCAAGGAGCUGGACCCCAGCUUUCAAGGUGCAGCACAUGAGCCCAGAGGUCAGUGUCUGAAAGUCUUGCCUCUGCCCCAUGCCUG